GGAUUAACGCUGGCAGUGUGUAUAAUACAUGCAAGUCGACUGCAUUUAGGUGCAGGGCAGACGGGUGAGUAACACGUUGGUUAUCUGCCCCGAACUCAGGGAUAACAUCGAGAAAUCGGUGAUAAUACCGGAUAGUCCCGCAAGGGUAAAGAUUUAUCGGUUCGGGAGGAGCCUGCGCAAUAUCAGCUUGUUGGUGAGGUAAUGGCUCACCAAGGCUAUGACGUUUAACUGGUCUGAGAGGAUGAUCAGUCACAAUGGAACUGAGACACGGUCCAUACUCCUACGGGAGGCAGCAGUAAAGAAUCUUCCGCAAUGGACGAAAGUCUGACGGAGCAACACUGCGUGGUGGAUGAAGGCUUUCGGGUCGUAAACACCUUUUCUGGGGGAAGAAGUUCUGACGGUACCCCAGGAAUAAGCGACGGCUAAUUACGUGCCAGCAGCCGCGGUAAUACGUAAGUCGCAAGCGUUAUCCGGAAUUAUUGGGCGUAAAGCGUCCGUAGGCGGUUUUAUAAGUCUGUGGUUAAAUCCCAGGGCUCAACCCUGGAAUCGUCAUGGAAACUAUAAGACUUGAGGUAUGCAGGGGUAGAUGGAAUUCCAGAAGUAGGGGUAAAAUCCGUAGAUCUCUGGAGGAACACCAAACGCGAAGGCAUUCUACUGGGCAUUACCUGACGCUGAGGGACGAAAGUGUGGGGAGCAAACGGGAUUAGAUACCCCGGUAGUCCACACCGUAAACGAUGGAUACUCGGUAUUGGAGGCUUCGACCCCUUCGGUGCCUAAGCUAACGCAUUAAGUAUCCCGCCUGGGUAGUACGGUCGCAAGAUUAAAACUCAAAGGAAUAGACGGGGACCUACACAAGCGGUGGAGCAUGUGGUUUAAUUCGAUAGUAAGCGGGAAACCUUACCAGGGCUUGACAUCUUGAGAAUUCUCUAGAAACAGAGAAGUGCCUUUUGGAACUCAAUGACAGGUGUUGCAUGGUUGUCGUCAGCUCGUGCCUUGAGGUGUACUGUUAAGUCAGGAAACGAGCGCAACCCUCAUUGUAUGUUGUAUUUUUCAUGCAAGACUGCCGACUCCAAGUCGGAGGAAGGUGAGGAUAACGUCAAAUCAGCAUGGCCCUUAUGCCCUGGGCUACACACGUGCUACAAUGGUCGGUACAAUGGGUCGCCAAAUCGUAAGAUGGAGCCAAUCCUAUCAAAGCCGGCCUCAGUUCGGAUUGAGGGCUGCAACUCGCCCUCAUGAAGUUGGAAUCGCUAGUAAUCGUGAAUCAGCACGUCACGGUGAAUAUGUUCCUAGGUCUUGUACUCACCGCCCGUC
rnacentral:rRNA from 1 species